AGAUGCUUCCGCCUCAGUCUGCGUGGGGCAGAAGUCAGAGUUCAGCAGGGAGGUAGGUACUUCCUGAGAAACGCUGCAGUCGCGAGCUUUCUGCACCGUAACUCUUGUAUGGAAUAUACAAAUGGGAUAACUAUUAUUGUUUGCCAGUAGAUGUCAGUCUUUUUAUAUUAGUACGGAGAUUGAGUUGAUUUGCAGUUUAAAAUUCAGAUUUCAGAAAGAUGAGACAAAGUGGAUCAGGCAGAAGAGUCUGGAGCAACUGUCACCACUGCUGUUCCUGAAGAGAGACUAUCACUGUGCAAUGUUGAGCCUUCACUCACCUGAAAUUUAUAAUACUGCUUCAGUCUGAUUGAAGAGUCUGGAAAAUAGCUUUUGCUGAUGAUUAUACUUAAAAAUCUAAACUGCUUUCCUCUCUGAUUUUCCAGGAAGCACAUGACCUAUCAGUGUUGUACUGAGAGGAACAUGGUUUCUGGCACGUUUGAGGCAUGAAACAAUUUAAAAUAACAACAUCUCCACCUACUGGCCAACCAAUAAAGCACAAUUGUACUAAUUUCUGGCCUGAUUUAAUUUCAAACUAGUUCUUAGAAAAAGAUGAUAUAAAUUCCUAGUGCAUAUCUAAAAUACAUGCCCUUUUGUAAAUCUGGAUUAUCAAAACUACAUAAAGACAGUAACAUCUGCCCCUUUAAGAUAAAAAGUCCUUAUUUGAGUAGGUUAGCUGGUAUUUGAGCACAAUCUAAAGAAAUAAAUGGAAAAAUGGGAACAACAUUUUUUCCCAUCAAUACAAUAACACAUGCUUAAUAACAAAGAAAUACAACAGCUAGUACUAAUAUAGUAGUUUUCUUUCAUGAUACCUACCUUAUUAAAGUUUAAGGUCCAUCAGCCCCAUUUUUUCACAUAGGGAAAAUAUGGUGCACAGAGCAGUUAACAGCUAGGUCCAGAAAGGUGACUUAGACUCAGCAGUGCAAUCCCUAAAACGUAGGCAUCCUGGGGUGUAGUGGAAUCUACAGACCCAAGUUACGUACCAAAGAACAGGAUUCACACAAGCCAGCAUGCUGAGCAGGAAGCUGCCUAAAGUAGGCACAAAAAAUGUCAGAAAGGGGUGUGGUCUAAGUUUUGGCCCUUAAAGGGAAUUGGGCACCUAAUUGUGGACUGCAGGGAGGUACUUCCCUCCACUCUGCAUUCACAGCCCUGAAUCCAUCCCUGGAGUUAGGCCAGAUCCGGCUUAGGUGCCUUUCUCACCAAAAAAAAUGAGGAAAUUCAUCCCUUCUAUGUUCUACAGCCCAGUGGUUAGAGCACUCACUGGGUAUGUGGGAGACUUUGGUACAAAUCCCCACACACUGAUUUGAAACAGGGUUUCCUGGCUCUAAGGUGAGUGCCCUAACCACCAGAGUAUAGGGUACUCUGAGACAGAUCUCUCUCAAUCUCCCCCGUAGAAGCUGUUUCACUUUGUAUAAAAUACUUAAUAUUCAUUGGAGCAGGGCCUGGAACCUAGGUUUUCCAGAUGGGCACCCUAACCACCGGGCUACAGAAUCAUUCUUUCUGGUCCACCGUAUAGUAUCCAGUAAACCAGGUUGUCUACCUUAGAAAGGAUAAUAUGUCCUGUAGUAAGAGGAGGCCCUGAGAUAUAAACCUUGGUAUCAGAGGCCUGGUAUGAGGCCUAAGGCCUGAACUAAAGUAAUGGUCAAGACUUUGCUAACAUAAAGCAAAGUUAAGCUGUGAGCCAGAGGCAGGCCCUGCUCACAGAAGCUGGCAAGGAAAGGGCUGAUGCUGCAAAAAGAUACAUACCUAAAAAGUACUGAACACUAAAUAUCAGAAAACUCCAAUACUUGUACAUUCCACACAUAAGAAGGAACAGGCUGACCCA